rnacentral:rRNA from 1 species
GAUGAACGCUGGCGGCGUGCCUAAUACAUGCAAGUCGAGCGAACAGACGAGGAGCUUGCUCCUCUGACGUUAGCGGCGGACGGGUGAGUAACACGUGGAUAACCUACCUAUAAGACUGGGAUAACUUCGGGAAACCGGAGCUAAUACCGGAUAAUAUAUUGAACCGCAUGGUUCAAUAGUGAAAGACGGUUUUGCUGCCACGUAUAGAUGGAUCCGCGCCGCAUUAGCUAGUUGGUAAGGUAACGGCUUACCAAGGCAACGAUGCGUAGCCGACCUGAGAGGGUGAUCGGCCACACUGGAACUGAGACACGGUCCAGACUCCUACGGGAGGCAGCAGUAGGGAAUCUUCCGCAAAGGGCGAAAGCCUGACGGAGCAACGCCGCGUGAGUGAUGAAGGUCUUCGGAUCGUAAAACUCUGUUAUUAGGGAAGAACAAAUGUGUAAGUAACUAUGCACGUCUUGACGGUACCUAAUCAGAAAGCCACGGCUAACUACGUG